ensembl:lncRNA
GCCCAACAUAGUCACUGAGUUAUAACCAGACAAGGAACCAGAAGGCCCAACAUAGUCACUGAGUUAUAACCAGACAGGGAACCAGAAGGCCCAACAUAGUUACUGAGUUAUAACCAGACAAGGAACCAGAAGGCCCAACAUAGUCACUGAGUUAUAACCAGAAAAGGAACCAGAAGUCACUGGGUUAUAGCCAGCCAGACAGGGAACCAGAAGUCCCAUCCUAGUCUUGUGGAACCAGACAGGUGUGUCUAAAUAAAUCUGGCUGUGCAAGUUAACGCCAGACUAAUAUUUGUUUUCUAAAUAAUUAUCAUAACGCAAGUUAUUUUUCUUGGGGUUGAUUGAGCUUUAUUUAAACAGGAGAAUUAUGAAUGAUUCAUUUCUGGGAGAAAUAGUGUGGUUAGGUUGAAGUCUGUCAGGCGAGGCUUGGGCUUGUUGCUUUGGAGACCCAUCAAACCACCUCUGCUGCUCCUCGCACAGCGAUUGUUGAACAACCAACACAUUGGAUGCAUCCAAAAUGGCACCGUUUUUCCUAUAUAGUGCACUAUGUUUAACACGGACCUGACGGUCAACAGUAAUGCAUUAAAUAGGGAAUAGGGCUUCAUUUCAGAUGCAGCCGUUGUCAUUCUCCAAGGGACUGUUGCUGCUGUCAUCGUGGCAAUAGGCUGAUCCCCUCACAACUUACAGUCCUAUCUUAUCUAUCUCUGUAUAUAUGUACUGUAUGUAUGUAUUAUAAAUUAAUAUUAACCAGGAGAACUCUCUGGAAGAUGUUGAAACCACUAGAGGUGUUCAGGGGUGGGUUUGAAAAUGUACCAUCUCUGUGAGAGCCUAUUGGUCGAUUUUACCUUGGGAAAAGCUGAGGUCAUUAAUGAUUCAAGCUUUCUAUCAGAGACUACCCUCAACUUUCAGACAGUUUUAAUCAGUUUCUAGAAGAGAAACGGAAUUGAAUAUUACACUCUUAGAAAAAAGGGUUCCAAAAGGCUUAUUUGGCUGUGCCCAUAGGAGAACCCUUUUGGGUUCCAAGUAGAACCCUUUUUGGUUCCAUUUUGAAUCCAGGUAGAACCGUUUUGGCAACCCAAAAAGUUUCUACCUGGAACCAAAAAGGGUACUUCAAAGGGUUAUCCUAUGGGGACAGCUGAAGAACCUUUUUCGGUUCUAUAUAGCACCUUUUGUGUAGAUGGGCCAACCUAUGGGACCUCAUGUAGAUAAUAUUACCAGAACGUACUGACUGGAAAGCCUUGGAACUGUUCUAUGUUAUAGAAUGAAUCUAUAAUAUAGAUAGAAUGGUUCUCCACUACAACAAAUGCAAACUAUUAUUCCAGGACCCAUUGUCCAACCUUUGAGCGCAGUUCUUGUUUUAACCACAGCAGGUCCCUCUUCCUCUGUAAAAGACACAACUUAUCCUUAUACAUUCUGGUAGAGCACUGAACGGAGUUUUAACCAGAUGCUUUUAAUGGCAAAUGAUUUUAAACGAUAGGAGAUGAUGAAAUAUGUACGGUGCUGUUAUUAACUUAGAUAAACGAAUGACCUUUUACUGUCAUACGAUCAAAAGUCUUAAACUUCUGGAGAAGAAACCACCAGUUCAAAACGUUCAUCGGAUUAAAUACUAUAUUUUUCAUAAAUGUAUAUUUUUCAGUCAGACCACCUCGACAUAAACUCUGGUUGGUUUCAUAUGUUUUAAAAGCAUAUCAAAUAUUGUCUGUCUAUAAAGUUGGAAUGUAUUCAAUGUACUGUAUAGGCUACAGUGAUCUCCUAUGUAUGUUAUUGACAACUCUGAUCUUCUAAAUGACAAACGCUGUGGAAUUUGGUACAGUAUAUUAUCAUUGUCAAUAAUAACAACUCCACCUGAAA